CAGCAGCCGCGGGAAUACGGAGGGAGCUAGCGUUAUUCGGAAUUACUGGGCGUAAAGCGCACGUAGGCGGCUUUGUAAGUUAGAGGUGAAAGCCUGGAGCUCAACUCCAGAAUUGCCUUUAAGACUGCAUCGCUUGAAUCCAGGAGAGGUGAGUGGAAUUCCGAGUGUAGAGGUGAAAUUCGUAGAUAUUCGGAAGAACACCAGUGGCGAAGGCGGCUCACUGGACUGGUAUUGACGCUGAGGUGCGAAAGCGUGGGGAGCAAACAGGAUUAGAGACCCCAGUAGUCCCUGUCUCUUAUAU
rnacentral:rRNA from 1 species